rnacentral:sRNA from 1 species
GCCACGGCUAGGUUUAGCGGCCGAAAAGCCGGUCCCAUGCCGGCCCCGCCGUGGCUCUUCACACACCUACAUGG